rnacentral:rRNA from 1 species
GAUGAACGCUGGCGGCGUGCCUAAUACAUGCAAGUCGAGCGAACAGACGAGGAGCUUGCUCCUCUGACGUUAGCGGCGGACGGGUGAGUAACACGUGGAUAACCUACCUAUAAGACUGGGAUAACUUCGGGAAACCGGAGCUAAUACCGGAUAAUAUAUUGAACCGCAUGGUUCAAUAGUGAAAGACGGUUUUGCUGUCACUUAUAGAUGGAUCCGCGCUGCAUUAGCUAGUUGGUAAGGUAACGGCUUACCAAGGCAACGAUGCGUAGCCGACCUGGGAGGGUGAUCGGCCACACUGGAACUGAGACACGGUCCAGACUCCUACGGGAGGCAGCAGUAGGGAAUCUUCCGCAAUGGGCGAAAGCCUGACGGAGCAACGCCGCGUGAGUGAUGAAGGUCUUCGGAUCGUAAAACUCUGUUAUUAGGGAAGAACAAAUGUGUAAGUAACUAUGCACGUCUUGACGGUACCUAAUCAGAAAGCCACGGCUAACUACGUG